UUUGUCUAUGCUAAACUGCUUUCCAUUUGCUGCUUUACUCGCUGUUAAUUAUUCUGCUAGCUAGUUAGAGACCAGCUACUUGGCUAGGUAUCAAAUUAGCUAGUGUGAAAAUGUACAUUGGCUUGUUUUUGUUUUGUUUUGUUUUGUUUUUUAUUGUUGUUGUUGGUGGUGGUGGUGUUUUUGUAUACAUCUUUACAAGCCUCCAAAUCUUUAUCUGAAUCUUUUAUUUAGAGGCCAAAGCAGGAAUACAUGUUUCCAGGAGUCCAGAAAAGAAAAGAAACAACCUGAAGUGACCUGCACAGUUUCACUUGCUAGCGUCAACCCGGAGUAAGGAGAAGAAGGAAAAUCCCCAGAAAAUUCUGUGAAUUCUUUUUUCAGACAGACAUUUUAAGUUAAAAAAAAGAAAGAGAAAGAAACCUAAGUAGUUAACUAUACAUGAUUCUUCAUGUAAUUUGAGGAAGGGAUGAAUUCAGUCAUAAAAUGAGACGUUUGCGUUCUUUUUCCCCUCAGACUUGACAAAGAUUUGUAUGCGACACAAGUAAAAAGCAACACAGUGACAAGUUUUCCUCCAGAUAAACCAGGGUUUGAUGUCUGAAUGCAUGGCUUGGUACAAGUUAACAAAAAAAAAAAAAAAAAAGAUCACAUCCAUGCCUGCUAUGCCACUGUGGAAUUUUCUCACUCCAUGGGCUUGUCAUGGCCGUCAGGCUCGAACGAUUACAUCAGGACAACAGCUAGACUCAGCAUGAAGUGUUUAGCCUAACGUGCAUUGCUGUGCCAUGUCUGCAAGGUAACGACGUCAUGAUGGGAUGAAUAACACACACAGAUCACCUUGUUCAUGAGCAUGUUACUACAAGAUAUAUACUAGAAAGUAUACUAAUCGGAUGGAGGAAACUACAAUCCCUUAAAGACACUUCUAUGACUGUGGUGCAAACAUUGGAACAAACAUCAUACGUGAAGAACAUGCACCUGAGUUCAGGAUGGAAUCAGAAACCCCUGGAGCAAGUCUACAGAGCCCUGUAAGAAGGUUUGUAGCACUCUAUAGCUCUAUAACAUCCAGAUGUAAGGUGAGAUUUAGCUUCAAACAUUUUGCCGAAUUUGUUUAUGCGAUUUUAAGCCAUUCUUGAGUAAGCAUUAUCAAUAAUUGUUACAGAAUUUAUACGUUUUUUUUUUUUUUAGAAAAUUUUUGUCUUGUCUGUGAGGCACGUUCUAUCUGAGUGGUCUUGGAACCUGAGUGAUGACACACACUCAUAAAACUUAUCAUGACUUAUCAAGGUUUAAGGUGACAUCAUUUGUCACAGCAAGCAGAACAAUGUCAGAUUAGGAUGCUAAUGAACGUCGUCUGAGGUGAUGAUUCGGUAAUGUUCAGGGUCACGGCUAUAAAAUACGGCCGCUUUUACCUAGUCGGUGGAAGGACGAAGAAGUGGAAAGAUCUGUGCUUCAACUUUCUCUAGAAGGUUAUGAGAGAUUCUAAAAUUAAAACUAAAGCUUGUUUGUUUGUUUUUUAUCCAAGAAUAGUUACUACGCUCAAACUCCUUUUGCAUGUAUGUAACUAUAAUCUAUAUCUACAACAGAGGUUCAGGUGCUGGUAAAAGUGCAGGGUUUGAAACCCAGCUCAAGUCUGCUGGCCCGUGCAUGGCCGUCUGCCUCAGUGGGUUUCAAACACCGGCACGGCGGGUGGCUGUUUUCAGAUUGACCUUUGAUACGCUCCUGCCAUCUUCCACUCCCCCGGGUCUCAGGGCCACAGCAGAUGGGGAGUAGGACUCUCUCUCCUCAUUGCCUAUUCGCAGGGCUACAGGCUGUUGCGUGCGCCAGUAGGGUGGCGAGGAUUAAACAUGCGUGGAGGAAAAUGAAUGGAGGCAGAGCGUGCCCAUUUAUUCAGCUCCGUGUAAGGCUCAUUAACCCGAUGACGGGCUAGCAGGUCAUGCUGAUUUCCUUAUUUAACUUUAAUAUUUACCACAUACGCACACUCACUCUCGCUUUCUCUCUAUUACACACGUGCUCUCUCUCUCUCUCUCACACACACACACACACACACACACACACACACACACACACAUACACACUAAGAGAUGAAUAGUCAUAAACCUAGGAACUUAGUAUCAAUUAAACAAAGACUUAUUAAAUUAUAAAUUAGAUUUUUGUGUAUUAUCUACAUUCAAAUAAUUAACUGAAGAAAGUACAUUUAAAUUUGACAUUUAGUUCAAUCCAUGAAGGAAAGGCCGCAAAUUUUACAAAUAAGAAUUUGUUACGUUAUUAUGCUGUCAGACACAGAGCUGUAACCGAAAUCAUUAUUUCACCCCAUGCCGCCAUCAACUUUUCACUCUCCAGAAAAAAAGUUUAACCGUAACCCAUGACAGCAUAUGGGAGAUGUGCAGCGAGCCUCAGACUGGGCGACGGGUGCCAGGGGACGCCAGGCAACCAGCCUUUCGGCCCUUUUCAUCCCUCCCUCAGAUGAGCAGCAUCUCCAGGCCCCUGGGGAUCGGCUGACUUACGAUGAUCUUCCCCACACCCCACCAUCGUCCAUGGCAAAACACAAGGGCGUGAGUGUUACAGUGCUGAUGCAACUCGGCCCUCGUGUGUCUGCUGUGCCAAAAAGGCAUAAACGCUUAGAGGCAGGAAAUGCAGAGCCACACAUUAACGACCCUGAAGAACUGCCUCGAACUUAUCCCUUAACUUAUUCUUUGGGUUGUCCUUUUUUGAAUAGCACUUCAGUUUGUAAAUGUUUACCGAUUUUUGAUCCUUUUCAGCUCUUUAAAAGGAUCUGCAUGUAAGUUAUAUUACUGAUAAUAUUUUAAUUGCAAAUAUAUAGUAAAUCAAGUAUGUACUUUUAUAUAAAUAUUUAUUUGUAGAUGGU